GACGAACCGUCCAAACGUUAUUCGGAAUCACUGGGCUUAAAGGGUGCGUAGGCGGCGCGGAAAGUUGGGUGUGAAAUCCCUCGGCUCAACCGAGGAAUUGCGCCCAAAACUACCGUGCUCGAGGAAGAUAGAGGUGAGCGGAACUUAGGGUGGAGCGGUGAAAUGCGUUGAUAUCCUAAGGAACACCGGUGGCGAAAGCGGCUCACUGGAUCUUUUCUGACGCUGAGGCACGAAAGCUAGGGGAGCAAACGGG
rnacentral:rRNA from 1 species